rnacentral:rRNA from 1 species
UACGUAGGGUGCAAGCGUUAAUCGGAAUUACUGGGCGUAAAGCGUGCGCAGGCGGUGAUGUAAGACAGAUGUGAAAUCCCCGGGCUUAACCUGGGAAUGGCAUUGGUGACUGUACGGCUAGAGUGUGUCAGAGGGGGGUAGAAUUCCACGUGUAGCAGUGAAAUGCGUAGAGAUGUGGAGGAAUACCGAUGGCGAAGGCAGCCCCCUGGGAUAACACUGACGCUCAUGCACGAAAGCGUGGGGAGCAAACAGG